rnacentral:lncRNA from 1 species
UGGAAUGAAGCCUGUAUGGUCCAAAGUAUAUCUGUAUUGACAUAGAUAUUACAUCAAGUGUCUCGUUAGGCUUUUUAUCUCUUCGGGGUAUCUGUUCCGCUUACCCUUCGGGGUAUCUGUUUCUCCCUCCCCUAUCUGAUAUAGAAAGACGUAAGAGGACCACUCUUAGCAUGGCAUGCCAUUUGACGAGAGUGGUAUUGCACUAUCUGCAGAAGUCACCCGUAGCUAACUAAUAUCGUGACUAUAGAUAUCUAUUAGGAUCACUAUGGUUGGUACGGCCGUGGUCAUAGAUCGUACUAUGGUUUGGCCAGCUGGAAGUGAGUCUGAGCAAAUUGUUGUAUCUGUAUUAGAUCUGGUCAUUCCACUUGAGAGUUAGAAAUUUAUAUUUGCCCUCAGAUAUGGAAGUUUGUAACAACAUUGCGAAGCAUGACAUGAAAAAUAUCUGCAUUUUAUG